CACACAAGCUUGGUCCUGACUUUAUUAUCAACUUUAGCUAGACUUACACAUGCAAGUAUCCGCAUUCCGGUGAAGAUGCCCCCCCCCGUUCCCCGCCCGGGAAUAAGGAGCUGGUAUCAGGCACAAACCUUUAGCCCAUGACGCCUUGCUUGGCCACACCCCCAAGGGAAUUCAGCAGUGAUAAAUAUUAAGCAAUAAGUGAAAACUUGACUUAGUUAAAGCUAAGAGGGCCGGUAAAUCUCGUGCCAGCCACCGCGGUUAUACGAGAGGCCCAAGUUGAUAACAUACGGCGUAAAGGGUGGUUAAGGAAAUAUUUUAAAUUAAAGCCAAAUGACUUCAUAGCUGUUAUACGCAUAUGAAAGUACGAAGCUCACCAACGAAGGUGGCUUUAUGUCUGCCUGAACCCACGAAAGCUAUGGUACAAACUGGGAUUAGAUACCCCAUUAUGCUUAGCCGUAAACAUAGAUAGAAAAUUACAUAUACUAUCCGCCCGGGGACUACGAGCAUCAGCUUAAAACCCAAAGGACUUGGCGGUGCUUUAGAUCCACCUAGAGGAGCCUGUUCUAGAACCGAUAAUCCCCGUUAAACCUCACCUUUUCUUGUUCUCCCCGCCUAUAUACCGCCGUCGUCAGCUUACCCUGUGAAGGGUCUAAAGUAAGCAAAAUUGGUACAACCCAAAACGCCAGGUCGAGGUGUAGCGAAUGAAAAGGGAAGAAAUGGGCUACAUUCAAUAUCCUAUAAUGAAUACGGAAGGUGGGCUGAAACGCCCGCCCGAAGGAGGAUUUAGUAGUAAGCAGAAAAUAGAGUGUUCUGCUGAAAUUGGCCCUGAAGCGCGCACACACCGCCCGUCACUCUCCCCAAACUCUCAUAAACACACCUAUAAUUAAAACAUUAUAACUGUAAAGGGGAGGCAAGUCGUAACAUGGUAAGUGUACCGGAAGGUGUACUUG
rnacentral:ncRNA from 1 species